rnacentral:rRNA from 1 species
AUUGAACGCUGGCGGCAGGCCUAAUACAUGCAAGUCGAGCGGACGAAGGGAGAUCGUUCUUGUAUUAAGUGGCGGACGGGCGAGUAAGUAAUACGUAUCUGACCUGCCGAUGGGGAUGAGGUCCGGUCAGGGGCGCGAAUAUCGUAUAGGUCAAUAGGUAGAAAGGGGUGGAUCUAUAGAGCUCACCGUAUCUGCUGAGCCUAGGUCGGAUUAGCUAGUUGGAUGGGUAAAGGCCUACCAAGGCGACGAUCCGUAACUGGUCUGAGAGGAUGAUCGGUCACACUGGAACUGAGACACGGUCCAGACUCCUACGGGAGGCAGCAGUGGGGAAUAUUGCGCAAUGGGCGAAAGCCUGAUCCAGCAAUGCCGCGUGUGUGAAGAAGGUCUUCGGAUUGUAAAGCACUUUAAGUAGGGAGGAAGAAAAGUGAAUUAAAACAUUGCUGUUUUGACGUUACCAACAGAAUAAGCCACGGCUAACUACGUG